AGAGUUUGAUCCUGGCUCAGGAUGAACGCUGGCGGCGUGCCUAAUACAUGCAAGUCGAACGCUUCACUUCGGUGAAGAGUGGCGAACGGGUGAGUAAUACAUAAGUAACCUGGCAUCUACAGGGGGAUAACUGAUGGAAACGUCAGCUAAGACCGCAUAGGUGUAGAGAUCGCAUGAACUCUAUAUGAAAAGUGCUACGGGACUGGUAGAUGAUGGACUUAUGGCGCAUUAGCUGGUUGGUAGGGUAACGGCCUACCAAGGCGACGAUGCGUAGCCGACCUGAGAGGGUGACCGGCCACACUGGGACUGAGACACGGCCCAGACUCCUACGGGAGGCAGCAGUAGGGAAUUUUCGGCAAUGGGGGAAACCCUGACCGAGCAACGCCGCGUGAAGGAAGAAGUAAUUCGUUAUGUAAACUUCUGUCAUAGAGGAAGAACGGUGGAUAUAGGGAAUGAUAUCCAAGUGACGGUACUCUAUAAGAAAGCCACGGCUAACUACGUGCCAGCAGCCGCGGUAAUACGUAGGUGGCGAGCGUUAUCCGGAAUGAUUGGGCGUAAAGGGUGCGUAGGUGGCAGAUCAAGUCUGGAGUAAAAGGUAUGGGCUCAACCCGUACUGGCUCUGGAAACUGAUCAGCUAGAGAACAGAAGAGGACGGCGGAACUCCAUGUGUAGCGGUAAAAUGCGUAGAUAUAUGGAAGAACACCGGUGGCGAAGGCGGCCGUCUGGUCUGGAUUCUGACACUGAAGCACGAAAGCGUGGGGAGCAAAUAGGAUUAGAUACCCUAGUAGUCCACGCCGUAAACGAUGAGAACUAGGUGUUGGGGGAAUAACUCAGUGCCGCAGUUAACGCAGUAAGUUCUCCGCCUGGGGAGUAUGCACGCAAGUGUGAAACUCAAAGGAAUUGACGGGGGCCCGCACAAGCGGUGGAGUAUGUGGUUUAAUUCGAAGCAACGCGAAGAACCUUACCAGGCCUUGACAUCCCUUGCAGAGGUAUAGAGAUAUAUCCGAGGUUAUCAAGGAGACAGGUGGUGCAUGGUUGUCGUCAGCUCGUGUCGUGAGAUGUUGGGUUAA
rnacentral:rRNA from 1 species